CGUGCCUAACACAUGCAAGUCGAACGGGGCUAGGAAAGCUUGCUUUCCGAAGCCUAGUGGCGGACGGGUGAGUAACGCGUGAGUAACCUGCCUUUCAGAGGGGAAUAACGUCCUGAAAAGAACGCUAAUACCGCAUAACGUACAGUUACCGCAUGGUAGCAGUACCAAAGGAGCAAUCCGCUGAAAGAUGGACUCGCGUCCGAUUAGCUAGUUGGUGGGGUAAAGGCCUACCAAGGCGACGAUCGGUAGCCGGACUGAGAGGUUGAACGGCCACAUUGGGACUGAGACACGGCCCAGACUCCUACGGGAGGCAGCAGUGGGGGAUAUUGCACAAUGGGGGAAACCCUGAUGCAGCAACGCCGCGUGUGGGAAGAAGGUUUUCGGAUUGUAAACCACUGUUCUUGGUGAAGAUAAUGACGGUAACCAAGGAGAAAGCUCCGGCUAACUACGUGCCAGCAGCCGCGGUAAUACGUAGGGAGCAAGCGUUGUCCGGAUUUACUGGGUGUAAAGGGUGCGUAGGCGGCUAGGCAAGUCAGACGUGAAAACCAUGGGCUCAACCUGUGGACUGCGUUUGAAACUGUUUAGCUUGAGUGAAGUAGAGGUAGGCGGAAUUCCCGGUGUAGCGGUGAAAUGCGUAGAGAUCGGGAGGAACACCAGUGGCGAAGGCGG
rnacentral:rRNA from 1 species